rnacentral:rRNA from 1 species
AUGAACGCUGGCGGCGUGCCUAAUACAUGCACGUCGAGCGCACGGACGAGAAGCUUGCUUCUCUGAUGUUAGCGGCGGACGGGUGAGUAACACGUGGAUAACCUACCUAUAAGACUGGGAUAACUUCGGGAAACCGGAGCUAAUACCGGAUGAUAUUUUGAACCGCGUGGUUCAAAAGUGAAAGACGGUCUUGCUGUCACUUAUAGAUGGAUCCGCGCUGCAUUAGCUAGUUGGUAAGGUAACGGCUUACCAAGGCAACGAUGCAUAGCCGACCUGAGAGGGUGAUCGGCCACACUGGAACUGAGACACGGUCCAGACUCCUACGGGAGGCAGCAGUAGGGAAUCUUCCGCAAUGGGCGAAAGCCUGACGGAGCAACGCCGCGUGAGUGAUGAAGGUCUUCGGAUCGUAAAACUCUGUUAUUAGGGAAGAACAUAUGUGUAAGUAACUGUGCACAUCUUGACGGUACCUAAUCAGAAAGCCACGGCUAACUACGUG